UAGUAACGGCGAGUGAAGCGGCAACAGCUCAAAUUUGAAAUCUGGCCCUAGCGGUCCGAGUUGUAAUUUGUAGAGGAUGCUUUUGGUGAGGUGCCUUCCGAGUUCCCUGGAACGGGACGCCGGAGAGGGUGAGAGCCCCGUACGGUUGGACGCCAAACCUCUGUAUAGCUCCUUCGACGAGUCGAGUAGUUUGGGAAUGCUGCUCUAAAUGGGAGGUAAAUUUCUUCUAAAGCUAAAUACCGGCCAGAGACCGAUAGCGCACAAGUAGAGUGAUCGAAAGAUGAAAAGCACUUUGAAAAGAGGGUUAAAUAGCACGUGAAAUUGUUGAAAGGGAAGCGUUUGCGACCAGACUUUUUCCAGGCGGAUCAUCCGGCGUUCUCGCCGGUGCACUCCGCCUGGUUGAGGCCAGCAUCGGUUUCCUUAGGGGGAUAAAGGCCUGGGGAACGUAGCUCCUUCGGGAGUGUUAUAGCCCCUGGCGUAAUACCCCUCGGGGGACCGAGGAACGCGCUCUGCAAGGAUGCUGGCGUAAUGGUCGUCAACGACCCGUCUUGAAACACGGACCAAGGAGUCGAACAUUUGUGCGAGUGUUUGGGUGUCAAACCCUCACGCGUAAUGAAAGUGAACGGAGGUGAGAGCCCUUACGGGUGCAUCAUCGACCGAUCCUGAUGUCUUCGGAUGGAUUUGAGUAAGAGCAUAACUGUUCGGACCCGAAAGAUGGUGAACUAUGCGUGGAUAGGGUGAAGCCAGAGGAAACUCUGGUGGAGGCUCGCAGCGGUUCUGACGUGCAAAUCGAUCGUCAAAUCUGCGCAUGGGGGCGAAAGACUUAUCGAACCAUCUAGUAGCUGGUUACCGCCGAAGUUUCCCUCAGGAUAGCAGUGUUGUCUUCAGUUUUAUGAGGUAAAGCGAAUGAUUAGGGACUCGGGGGCGCUAUAUUGCCUUCAUCCAUUCUCAAACUUUAAAUAUGUAAGAAGCCCUUGUUACUUAGUUGAACGUGGGCAUUCGAAUGUACCAACACUAGUGGGCCAUUUUUGGUAAGCAGAACUGGCGAUGCGGGAUGAACCGAACGCGGGGUUAAGGUGCCAGAGUGGACGCUCAUCAGACACCACAAAAGGUGUUAGUACAUCUUGACAGCAGGACGGUGGCCAUGGAAGUCGGAAUCCGCUAAGGACUGUGUAACAACUCACCUGCCGAAUGUACUAGCCCUGAAAAUGGAUGGCGCUCAAGCGUCUCACCCAUACCUCGCCCUUAGGGUAGAAACGAUGCCCUAAGGAGUAGGCGGCCGUGGAGGUUAGUGACG
rnacentral:rRNA from 1 species